rnacentral:rRNA from 1 species
CCUACGGGCGGCAGCAGUGGGGAAUAUUGGACAAUGGGGGCAACCCUGAUCCAGCCAUGCCGCGUGUGUGAAGAAGGCCCUCGGGUUGUAAAGCACUUUCAGUGAGGAAGAACGCCUGGUGGUUAAUACCCAUCAGGAAAGACAUCACUCACAGAAGAAGCACCGGCUAACUCCGUGCCAGCAGCCGCGGUAAUACGGAGGGUGCGAGCGUUAAUCGGAAUUACUGGGCGUAAAGCGCGCGUAGGUGGCUUGAUAAGCCGGUUGUGAAAGCCCCGGGCUCAACCUGGGAACGGCAUCCGGAACUGUCAAGCUAGAGUGCAGGAGAGGAAGGUAGAAUUCCCGGUGUAGCGGUGAAAUGCGUAGAGAGCGGGAGGAAUACCAGUGGCGAAGGCGGCCUUCUGGACUGACACUGACACUGAGGUGCGAAAGCGUGGGUAGCAGACAGGAUUAGAUACCCCGGUAGUC